GACGAACGCUGGCGGCGUGCUUAACACAUGCAAGUCGAACGGAAAGGCCCUGCUUUUGUGGGGUGCUCGAGUGGCGAACGGGUGAGUAACACGUGAGUAACCUGCCCUUGACUUUGGGAUAACUUCAGGAAACUGGGGCUAAUACCGGAUAGGAGCUCCUGCUGCAUGGUGGGGGUUGGAAAGUUUCGGCGGUUGGGUAUGGACUCGCGGCUUAUCAGCUUGUUGGUGGGGUAGUGGCUUACCAAGGCUUUGACGGGUAGCCGGCCUGAGAGGGUGACCGGCCACAUUGGGACUGAGAUACGGCACAGACUCCUACGGGAGGCAGCAGUGGGGAAUAUUGCACAAUGGGCGGAAGCCUGAUGCAGCAACGCCGCGUGCGGGAUGACGGCCUUCGGGUUGUAAACCGCUUUCGCCUGUGACGAAGCGUGAGUGACGGUAAUGGGUAAAGAAGCACCGGCUAACUACGUG
rnacentral:rRNA from 1 species